CGUGUCUCCAGCCUUACUCACUGUGUCUCCCUGUAACCCUGCUCAGUUUUGGAGUCUAGUUUUCACCCUUUUGGAUUUCUGUUGGACAGCCUUUGUUUUGGGACUCUGUCAUCAGCCACUCAGUUUUUGUUUGCAAACAGAAGCAGCUUGAAACUUCCGUCUUAUCCAGUUCUGAAGUGGCUGUUCAGCAUGUCCUCAUGCAGUGGAGUUGUGCUGAGCAGAAAAGAAGAAGAUGAGAACAAGAAGAAACUCCUGACUCAUGGCUUCCUGUAUAAUCCCAAUGCAUUAAUCGACGCGGAGAGAAGCCUGAGCUGUGUUAGCUGAGGGAUUCCGUACAAGGUUGACGUAAACAUUACCACAGUCCAGCGCUGGCCGGGACCUGGUGUUUUUUAACGGCAGGUGCAUCUCUACGAGGGAGUUCCAUUUGGAUGGAAAAGUUAAUUUUGUGCGUCUCACUCUGGAGUUAUGUAUGUAUACUCCCUGAUUAAGAAAAAAAUGCAUGUCAGAAUACAUGAGAGGAUGAAGACGCCAUAGUUAAAUUCAUUUGGUUAAGGUUAGAGAAACAUUUCGGUUAUAGUUAAAAGAAACCAACCGUGACUAUAUGUAGGAAAACAGGACGCAAACAGCAACGUCUCCAACGUCACAGUACCUCAUCUUUCCAUCAAGCGUCGUGAUUCCUUUGUCUUUGUCACUUGGAUGUAAACAUAUGUAAUCUUUGGGCAUUUGCUGAAAAGACUGAUGCUGUGCCCACCUCCA